GUAGGGUUUAGGGUUAGGUAGAGUUAGCGGUAGGUAAGGUUUAGGGUUAGGCAGGGUUUAGGGUUAGGCAGGGUUUAGUGUUAGAAAUGGUUUAGGGUUAGAAAGGGUUUAAGGUUAGGUUUAGGCAUGGUUUAGGUUAGCAGGGUUUAGGGUUCGGUUGGGUUUAGGGUUAGAAAGGGUUUAGGGUUAGGUAGAUUUUAGGGUUAGGCAGGGUUUAGGGUUCGGCAGGGUUUAGAGGUAGUAGGGUUUAGGGUUAGAAAGGGUUUAAGGUUAGGUAGGGUUUAGGGUAGGUAGGGUUUAGGGUUAGGUAGAGUUAGCGGUAGGUAAGGUUUAGGGUUAGGCAGGGUUUAGGGUUAGGCAGGGUUUAGUGUUAGAAAUGGUUUAGGGUUAGAAAGGGUUUAAGGUUAGGUUUAGGCAUGGUUUAGGUUAGCAGGGUUUAGGGUUCGGUUGGGUUUAGGGUUAGAAAGGGUUUAGGGUUAGGUAGAGUUUAGGGUUAGGCAGGGUUUAGGGUUAAAAAGGGUUUAGGGUUAGGUAGGGUUAGGUAGGGUUUAAGGUUAGGUAGGGUUUAGGGUUAGGUAAGGUUUAGAAUUAGGUAGGGUUUAGGGUUAGGAAGGAUUUAGAAUUAGGCAGGUUUUAGGGUUAGGCAGGUUUUAGGGUUAGGUAGGGUUUAGGGUUAGGUACGGUUUAGGAUUAGUAGGGUUUAGGGUUAGGUAGGGUUUAGAAUUAGGUAGGGUUUAAGGUUAGGCAGGGUUUAAGGUUAGGCAGAGUUUAGGGUUAGGCAGGGUUUAGGGUUAGAAAGGGUUUAGGGUUAGGCAGGGUUUAGGGUUAGAAAGGGUUUAGGGUUAGAUAGGGUUUAGGGUUAGGUAGGGUUUAGGGUUAGGUAGGGUUUAGGGUUAGAAAGGGUUUAAGGUUAGGUAGGGUUUAGGGUAGGUAGUGUUUAGGGUUAGGUAGAGUUAGCGGUAGGUAAGGUUUAGGAUUAGGUAGGGUUUAGAGUUUGGUAGGGUUUAAGGUUAGUAGGGUUUAGGGUUAGGCAAGGUUUAAAAUUAGGUAGGGUUAGGGUUAGGCAGGGUUAAGGGUUAGGCAGGGUUUAGGGUUAGGCAGGGUUUAGGGUUAGAAAGGGUUUAGAGUUAGAAAGGGUUUAGGGUUAGAAAGGGUUUAAGGUUAGGUUUAGGCAUGGUUUAGGUUAGCAGGGUUUAGGGUUCGGUUGGGUUUAGGGUUAGAAAGGGUUUAGGGUUAGGUAGGGUUUAGGGUUAGGCAGGGUUUAGGGUUAGGCAGGGUUUAGGGUUCGGCAGGGUUUAGAGGUAGUAGGGUUUAGGGUUAGAUAGGGUUUUAGGUUAGGCAGGGUUUAGGUUAGGUAGGGUUUAGGGUUAGGCAGGGUUUAGGGUUAGUAGGGUUUAGAAUUAGGUAGGGUUUAGGGUUAGGCACAGUUUAGGGUUAGACAGGGUUUAGGGUUAGUAGGGUUUAGGGUUAGGAAGGGUUUAGGGUUAGGUAGGGUUUAGGGUUAGAAAGGGUUUAGGGUUAGGUAGGGUUUAUGGUAGGUAGGGUUUAGGGUUAGGUAGGGUGAAGGGUAGGUAGGGUUUAGGGUUAGGUAGGGUUUAGGGUUAGUAGGGUUUAGAAUUAGGUAGGAUUUAGGGUUAGGUAGGGUUUAGGGUGAGGUAGGGUUUAGGGUUAGUAGGGUUUAGGGUUAGAAAGGAGGUUUAGGGUUAGGUAGAGUUUAGAAUUAGGUAGGGUUUAGGGUUAGGUAGAGUUUAGAAUUAGGUAGGGUUUAGGGUUAGGUAGAGUUUAGAAUUAGGUAGGGUUUAGGGUUAGGUAGAGUUUAGAAUUAGGUAGGGUUUAGGGUUAGUAUGGUUUAGGUUUAGGUAGGGUUUAGGGCUAGAUAGGAUUUAGGUUUAGAAAGGUUUUAGGGUUAGGUAGGGUUUAGGUUAGGUAGGGUUUAGGGUUAGUAGGGUUUAGGGUUAGGUAGGGUUUAGGGCUAGAUAUGAUCUAGGUUUAGAAAGGUUUUAGGGUUAGGUAGGGUUUAGGUUAGGUAGGGUUUAGGGUUAGUAGGGUUUAGGGUUAGGUAGGGUUUAGGGCUAGAUAUGAUCUAGGUUUAGAAAGGUUUUAGGGUUAGGUAGGGUUUAGGUUAGGUAGGGUUUAGGGUUAGUAGGGUUUAGGGUUAGGUAGGGUUUAGGGCUAGAUAUGAUCUAGGUUUAGAAAGGUUUUAGGGUUAGGUAGGGUUUAGGUUAGGUAGAGUUUAGUGUUAAGUAGGGUUUAGGGUUAGUAGGAUUUAGGGUUAGGUAGGGUUUAGGGUUAGUAUGGUUUAGGGUUAGGUUUUAGGGUUAGGUAAGGUUUAGUGUUAGGUAGGGUUUAGGGUUAAAUAGGGUUUAGGGUUAGGUAGGGUUUACGGUUAGAUAUGCUUAGGUAGUAGGAAGGGUUUAGGGAUUAGGGUUAGGUUUAUGUAGGGUUUAGGGUUAGAUAUGGUUAAGGUCUAGGUUUAGGUAGGGUUUAGGGUUAGGUAGAAUUUAAAGUUUAGGUAGUAGGAAAGGUUUAGCAUUAGUUUAGGUUGGGUUUAGGGUUUGGUUUAGAAUAAUGUUUAGGAUUAUAGGAUUUAAGUUUGUUUAUUUUUUUGUUUAUGCAUUUAAUGCUGAGUCUUUCGGAUAAAGUUUUUUAU
rnacentral:lncRNA from 1 species